ensembl:snRNA U7 U7 small nuclear RNA
UAGUGCUUUCAGCUCCUUUUGAAUUUGUCCAGCAGGUCUUCCGGCUUUUACCAAAAAGCCCUC